rnacentral:rRNA from 1 species
UUGGAGGGCAAGUCUGGUGCCAGCAGCCGCGGUAAUUCCAGCUCCAAUAGCGUAUAUUAAAGUUGUUGCAGUUAAAAAGCUCGUAGUUGAAUUUCGGGAUCAGCAAGUUGGUCGUGCCUCUGGUACGUACUGGCUUUACUGGUUCCUCCUUCUUGAAGAACUGUAAUGUCAUUAAUUUUGUGUUGCAGGGAAUCAGGACUGUUACUUUGAAAAAAUUAGAGUGUUUAAAGCAAGCUAACGCUUGAAUACAUUAGCAUGGAAUAAUGAAAUAGGACGUUUGAUCCUAUUUUGUUGGUUUCUAGGAUUGACGUAAUGAUUAAUAGGGAUAGUUGGGGGCAUUAGUAUUCGAUUGUCAGAGGUGAAAUUCUUGGAUUUAUUGAAGACUAACUACUGCGAAAGCAUUUGCCAAGGAUGUUUUCAUUAAUCAAGAACGAAAGUUAGGGGAUCGAAGACGAUCAGAUACCGUCGUAGUCUUAACCAUAAACUAUGCCGACUAGGGAUCGGAUGAUGUUAAUUUUUUAAUGACUCAUUCGGCGCCUUACGGGAAAC